GACGAACGCUGGCGGCGUGCUUAACACAUGCAAGUCGAGCGAGAAAGCGGCUUCGGCCGUGAGUACAGCGGCGAACGGGUGAGUAACACGUGGGCAACCUGCCCCAGAGAUUGGGAUAACGUCCCGAAAGGGACGCUAAUACCGAAUGACGCGUGACCUGCCAAGUGGGUCACGCCAAAUGGUAGCCUCGGCCUCUGCUCUGGGAUGGGCCCGCGCCGGAUUAGCUUGUUGGUAGGGUAACGGCCUACCAAGGCGACGAUCCGUAGCUGGUCUGAGAGGACGAUCAGCCACACUGGGACUGAGACACGGCCCAGACUCCUACGGGAGGCAGCAGUGGGGAAUCUUGCGCAAUGGGCGAAAGCCUGACGCAGCAACGCCGCGUGAGCGAAGACGGCCUUCGGGUUGUAAAGCUCUGUCAGGAGGGACGAAGCCACUCGGGUGAAUAGCCCAGAGGGUGACGGUACCUCCAGAGGAAGCCCCGGCUAACUACGUGCCAGCCGCCGCGGUAAUAC
rnacentral:rRNA from 1 species